rnacentral:rRNA from 1 species
GUGUAGCGGUUAAAUUCAUAGAGAUCGGAAGGAACACCAGUGGGGAAGCGGGUUUGUGGACCAACAUUGACGGUGAGCAGAAAGCGUGGUAGCAAACAGGAUUAGAUACCCUGAUAGUCCACGCCGUAAACGAUGUCAACUAGCCGCCCGCCCUCACUCUAGAGGUCGGUGGUGCAGCUAACGCAUUAAGUUGACCGCUUGGGGAGUACAGCCGCAUGGUUGAAACUCAAAGGAAAUUGACGGGGGCCCGCACAAGCGGUGGAGCAUGUGGUUUAAUUCGAUGCAACGCGAAGAACCUUACCUGGUCUUGACAUGUAGUGAACUUAGCAGAAAUGUUUUUUGCCUUCGGGAACACUAACACAGGUGGUGCACGGCUGUCGUCAGCUCGUGUCGUGAGAUGUUGGGUUAAGUCCCGCACCGAGCGCAACCCCUGUCCCUAGUUGCCAGCACAUAAUGGUGGGAACUCUAGGGAGACUGCCGGUGACAAACCGGAGGAAGGUGGGGAUGACGUCAAGUCAUCAUGGCCCUUAUGACCAGGGCUACACACGUGCUACAAUGGGCAGUACAGAGGGAAGCAAAAUCGCGAGAUCAAGCAAAUCCCAGAAAGCUGUCCGUAGUCCGGAUCGGAGUCUGCAACUUGACUCCGUGAAGUCGGAAUCGCUAGUAAUCGCGAAUCAGCAUGUCGCGGUGAAUACGUUCCCGGGCCUUGUACACACCGCCCGUCACUCCAUGGGAGUUUGUUGCACCAGAAGCAGGUAGUCUAACCGAAAGGAGGGCGCUUGCCACGGUGUGGCCGAUGACUGGGGUGAAGUGGUAACAAUGU